rnacentral:lncRNA from 1 species
CUUCAGCGAGCAGCGGCAACAUGGCUUAUAUAUCCAGCAAGCAACAUGUCCAGCAAAUAUAGAUCCAGGAAGUAAUAUAUAGCCAAGGAAGGUUCACAACAACAAUAUAUUACAACUUGACAACCAUAACAAAUUGACCAUGAGUCCAAAGUCCACACAGGUACAUAUCCAACAAGGUUCACAAACAAAAGCAUGAGUUCCAAGUUCACACCAAGCAUGAACCUCAAACAUGCAAUGAGCUCCACCGUAGCAUGUAUGCCCACCGUCAACGGCAUCCACAAUGCAAACCUACAAGUCCAUUACCAAACGCAUGAGUUUUCAAAGUUAAGUUUCAAAUGAUCGAUAAGGCACAAGAGUCAACAAGCAUCAACAUAUAAGGUUCAAAUUGAAGCUAAGAAGUAUGAACAAUAUAAGCAUCAACACUUGUGGGCUCUACUAUCAACAAUGCACAAGUUGUAAGUUGAGAAGCACAAAGACAAGACGCAAGCAUCAACAAUGCACAAACAUAGACAACUACCUCGAGUGAUCAUUGUUGCAAGGAGGUCGAAGCGCCAUGAGCCGUAGUGGGAGUCACUGGGCUUGCUUGUCCUGACUGAGAACACUUCAAGCACGAGAAGGUAAGAUGGUAAGAUUCAUGAUCUUUAAGCAUGACUAGUCAACAAUCCGUGCGACUGCACGGGCUAGUAAUUUUUCCUAAAAGAGUAUAAAUCAUUGGCGGCUCUUUGUAUUGUUUCAUUUUUUAUGUGAGAAAUAGAGAAUUGUGUUAUGAAACUUGAUUGUAGUGCACUUAAUAUUGUUUCAAUUAGUUGGACAUUAGAUAGUGGAUUAAUAUUUCCAUGGUCUGAGAUUCAUAGUUAUCUUGUGCCUGUCUUGUGAUUGUAUUACAAAUGCUUAUGUUUAACCAAAUAGCUCAAAAUGGGUUCAAAUGAUAGACACAUAUGCAAAUAAUGCAUAUCUCUGCUUAUCCUUCUAUGAGGAAGUCCUACCACCAGAUGUGAGCCAAACAUUAUUAUAUUUAUAGCUUAGCUUAAAUCCAUAAUUAUUUAGGUGAGAUCCUCUGCAUCAUAUAUUUCCUAACAGGAAUAUAAGGGUUAAAAAUGCCGGCCAUUUAUAUAAAUGUAAAAUGUACAACAUAGUUAAUAUACUGAGAGACUUAUAUGUAUCAAAUACUAACUUUCUUUUUGUAAUAGCACUUGGUUGCACAUUAUCCCGGGAAAAGACCCUUGGAAUGGGCAUUAAAUUCAUUUUCCUAAAUGGGCAUUGGCAGUUCAAUUCUAAAGUAUUACAUGUAAGCAUCAGUAAUCCUCUCUUAGCUUAGUCCGCUUCAAGAAAUCAUAUGAUCCCAUGUCUCCCAAAUAAUGUUGAUCACCACAUACAUCCUAGAUUUAAAGAGAGUAAAUUAUGUCGAGCACAUGCACAUGCAUGUAUAAAUAAAAUAGACUGUGCGCAUGAAGUGCAUACCUGCACCCUGGACAUGGGAUACAGCGGGGGAGUGGAUGAGAAGCACACGCAGCCACUGUAUGUCCUCGUUGUCGGUAUUCUGCUUGAUUAUCCUCUUCAUCGCUUGUUAAUGUAAAGAAAAACAGUUGGUCAAUAAAGAAUCAUACAUUAUUCAAGAAACCAAGCGAUGGUAUAACAAAUAAAUUGGAAGUGAACAAACGGCAAGAUUUAAUUUAUUUUGCAAUUUGUAGGAUUCCCCAACUCGAAGAGAACUGUUGUUGAAUAUCAUAUGAAAGAAUAAUGGAUUUGCAUUAUAUGGAUUUGCAUUAUAUGGAUUUGAGCCACAUAUUACACUAUUUAUAGAAUUGAAUUCAGGUAGCUAGUAAAAUGAUUGUCUUGAUGAUCGUUAACUUAGACCCAUAAAAAUUAAUAUUUUAUUUUCACCCAAUGACCAUAGUUUCUAACGGGAAUAUUGGGGGCACAAAGUGCAAGACAUCAUAUAGAAGUGCAUCCAUAUGAUGAUCAAAUACUGAAAUCAUUUUCUCGCAAUAGAAGCACAUGGUUACACACAUCCCUCAGAAUCUCACUUAACUGAAAUGGGAGUUUAUUUCUUGUAAUAGUAACAUUUUGUUACACAUGUCCCCUCAAAUAUCCCUCAAGUGGAAUGGACGUUAGUUGACAAUAGUAUAUAGGAAGGCUCCCGAACACAAAAAAUAGAUAUAUGUUGUUCAAGUGCUGCAUACAAAAUGAUGGUGGCAAUAAAUUUGAGCACAUAAAUAUAUAUGAAUAGAAGCAUUGUAGUAAAUGUUCUGUUGGAAAUAUACCAUUGAUGCAACAAAUAAGAAAAACUGAAAUUCAGCAAGGUGCUUGCGUGGGACAUCACACAUUAGUAAUCCUUUCUUACCUUAGCCCCCUGAAACUAAUCAUAUGAUCCAUGCUGUCCAAAAUUAUAUGAGCUCAUCAUCCAUGAAUGAAGAGAAAAGGAGUAAAGUAGUGAGAAGAAAUCAUCCUAAUAAUCAAACCUCUAGUCCAGUAUGCACCCUGUAUAAAAUAGAAAUCUAUGAAGUCAUUACCUGCACCUGCAGACACGGUUUGCAGCCAAGGUGUGGAUGAGAAGCUCAUCCAGCAACUACACAUCAUCGCCGGUGGCUCUCGACUUGAUUAUCCUCUUCAUUUUCUAUGCUUCAUUACGUAAUCCAUAACGACAUGCUCAGUGAGCGUGUUUUUUGCUGCAGAACGCUUCCUCAUAUGUAAAAAAAGAAGAAUUGCAUCAAAAUAGGGACACACCUUCAGUAUAAAUCUGAAGAAUACAACAUGAUUCUUUCUGUUAAUAUAUACUCCCACUGUUCCAAAAUAGAUACAACAGCAUACCGGAGGGAGUAUUACAGUAUAUGAGAACUGAGAUACAACAGCAUACCGCACAUCUUCUUAAAGAAACAAAUGGAGACUGAACUUAUCUACUCAUUAUAUGUGUCUAGUAAAGUCUGCACGUGUAUGUAUAACAUAUAUAUGAAAUACAACAUCAUACAAUUUAGUAUCAUAGAUUCAGUGAAAAGACGCAAAUUUCUAGGAAGUUUAUUGGUGUUACAGAAUCAGAUCUUAUAAUUACAUAACAACUCUUACUAAGCAAGUCCCAGCUCCAUACAACAGAUGCAAAAACUGUACAACAAUCAACUCACAUAUGUUUUAAUUAUUUAGUACAUCAACCUAACAAAAGAACGAAAAUAAAGUUUAACAAGAAGAAACAAUAUUAUUAAAUCCUAGCGAGAGGUUAACUUGAGCAUCAUUUUUUUAUUUUGCGUCUUGCUUUGAAUAAAUAUUGUUCAGGUGCCUCCUUGUUGAUGCAUAUACACUGCACAUCUGCAACAACACCAUCAAAGAAAUUCCAUCAGAACAAAGUACAGUUUGUGCUUGUAAGAUGCACAGUCAAAUUGGAUUACUGGAUGAGAAUAAAUUGAAAGAAUAGAUCAAAGUAAAAAAAGGCAUAUAUUUUUUUUGCUUGUAUGGAACAGAAAGAAGUAAACUGAAUAAAUCGUGUGAUACUCCUAAACGACUAAUCCACUUCCCAAAAACUUUAGAAGAGAUUCUUGAGUUCCCUGUGCAGAAGUACGCCCACAUAAUUAGAUUGUAUAUAGCAUCUAGAAAUCCUAGCUAUCCAAGUAAUAUGUAGGUAUGAAACUGAACAAGUGUGUAACAGAACAUGCAUGUGUUCCUGAAGAUGCAAUUGGGGGAGGGACGGGAACCAAGACCUGGUUACUUCUUGUUGUUGCAUGAGGAGGAGAUCAGCAGCGGCACCUCUGAGCACCUUCACGCCGGAGCACCUUGCCGCCGGAGGAGUCGGCC